GACGAACGCUGGCGGCGUGCUUAACACAUGCAAGUCGAGCGGUAAGGCUCCUUCGGGAGUACACGAGCGGCGAACGGGUGAGUAACACGUGAGUAAUCUGCCCUUCACUUCGGGAUAACCACCGGAAACGGUGGCUAAUACCGAAUACGACCAGUCUUCGCAUGAGGUGCUGGUGGAAAGUCUUUUCGGUGAAGGAUGUGCUCGCGGCCUAUCAGCUUGUUGGUGGGGUAAUGGCCUACCAAGGCUUCGACGGGUAGCCGGCCUGAGAGGGUGACCGGCCACACUGGGACUGAGACACGGCCCAGACUCCUACGGGAGGCAGCAGUGGGGAAUAUUGGACAAUGGGCGAAAGCCUGAUCCAGCAACGCCGCGUGAGGGAUGAUGGCCUUCGGGUUGUAAACCUCUUUCAGUACCGACGAAGCGCCCUGUCGGGUGGUGACGGUAGGUACAGAAGAAGGACCGGCCAACUACGUG
rnacentral:rRNA from 1 species